GUUGCUUAUUUUGAUUGCCUGAUUAAUAUGCAGACGAAAUCGGGUCCCUGUGUUUAUAAAUAUAAAUUGAAGCAAUACGAGGCACAUCCCAGAACACGUCGGAAGACUAAUUCUAUGUGAUAAACAGUUAAUCAAGAAUUAUGCAGUUUGAGACGAUUCCAAAGGAUAACAAAGUGUUUGUGCACCAGGCCCUGUUCCCACCAAUAUCUACGGAAGUAUGGGCAUUCCUCAAAUAAUCGCCCAUGCCACCCGAUUAAACACCCUAUUUGAUCGGAUUGCAUUGUUUUGCACACCGAUCAAUCUAUAGAUUUAGUCAGAUCCACUCAAUGAUAACAUUUAAUAAACCGA